rnacentral:rRNA from 1 species
UACGUAGGUGGCAAGCGUUGUCCGGAUUUACUGGGCGUAAAGAGCGCGCAGGCGGCUGGUCAAGUCCGAUGUGAAAGCUUCCGGCUUAACUGGAAAAUUGCAUUGGAAACUGCUCGGCUUGAAGGUGGGAGAGGGUAGCGGAAUUCCCGGUGUAGUGGUGAAAUGCGUAGAUAUCGGGAGGAACACCAGUGGCGAAGGCGGCUACCUGGCCCAUUCUUGACGCUGAGGCGCGAAAGCUAGGGGAGCAAACGGG